rnacentral:lncRNA from 1 species
AAAAAGCCGCCUCCUUUGAAUUCUCUUCGUCUCUCAGAUUCUCUCGAACCUCUCCGAAACACUAAUCGCCUCCCACAUGUUCCUACCUCGUUUCCACCGGAAUCCAUGGCAUCUCGGUCAUGGAUGGUCUGUACUCACUCUCUCUUACCACAAAGCCUAGGUUACUCAAAGGCUGGAGGCCUAACCCCAAUGGUCCUCCUUCUGAUCAGUCUCAGAUCUGUAGAUCUAUGGUUUCUCCAGCCAUGCUCUAGCAUAUUCAAGCAUUAGAGGCCUAAUUCCUGACAUGCUCGACUCAGGAUCUGAUGUCAAGCCUUUCUCGUUUCUAGGGUUUCUCUGAAUCCUAAGUUAUUCGAGGUUCUUUAUUUGUUGGUUUGCCUAGAUCUAUGCUGAAUCUAUGCUCUACUUGACAUAUCAAAAGUUUCUUUUGGUUUUCCCCAAAAGUUUCUUUUCAAAUUUGUUUCUCUUCGAUUUUAGGGUUUGUGAAAGGAUUUUUUGAAAGAAAAUCUUUCUGAUUCUUCUUCUUCUCUGCUUUAUAUUUGUUUGCCCAUACCCUGUUCGUAUGAUUUCUUUUAUUUUUGCAUGUGCUUCCUUCCACCUUUUCUUUCCUGCUAUGCGUGUUAUUCCUGUUAAUCCUUGCUUAAUUUUCUUUACUCUUUUACUAUGUGUGUUUACCAUUAAGAUUAUUUGAUUUAAUUUAUUGGACUCUGGUCAUUUUCCUACAUGCUUCGUCUAUUUGUGUUCACAUUUUUAUUAUCUCCUUCUUCUGAACUUGUUUAGUUUCCAAGUUUUCUCAAAUAUGUUCUUCAUGACUUUUUCCUCUAUUGUUCAAACAAUCUAUCAUAUCUGUUUUGUUGAAACCCUGAAACGAAUGGCUUGCUUUCCCACUUCCAUGUAUGAUUAAAUUUUGAAACCUUAUGAUUUUGGGGUUUCUUUGAUGAUGUGGAUUUCGUGUUCAAGUUAAGGCUAUACUGUGGGACCCUGAACUCUCAGACUCACUAUGAGUCCGCAAAUUGAACCUGUAUCUCCUUGCUUAUGAUUCUAAAUUUCUCUUGGAUUAAACUAUGUUCUAAAUAAUUCAACUUUAUCUUCUUGAUUCACAUGUUUGUGUGUUUGAUAUAGGAGAAAUCUUAUUUCAAAAGGUUUUGACAACUACUUGAUUGAUUCUGAAUUCCUUUGAUGGGGUUUUGACUAAUUGCCACUGAUUUUCCUUCGAUUGAACCUCCUCUAACUUUCUUGACUGGAUUCAUCUAAAUGAAGCUUCUAAUUUUGGUUUCAUGACAUUUUAAUUGAUUCCUUUACCAUAUUUGGCACAAACCGUGUACUAUUGAUUAUUUUCCUUAAAUAACUCUUAUGUACUUACCCAUUUUGUUCUAUUUUGAAAGGUUUUUAUCAAAUUUUCUUUCCUUAACUUAUUUUCACCCGUUAAAAUCAGAAUUGCUUAAACCAAGGGAGUCUGAUUUCAUUGACAUCUUGCCUUCUUUAUUUGUUUUCUACACAAUAAAAAGGGUUGCCCUUCUACACUUUCAACACAUGAUCAAUUUGAAUACUUUCAAAAACACUACUUUCAAACACACUCAUUUUUGCAAACACUCGAGUUCUCUCUGAACUCACUCACACAUAAAGUGUUCUCUCUCUAAUUAUGGCUUGUUUGCAAGAAACCUGUUUUCUUUGCUCAGCUUUCUGAAACUGGCAUGUUCUUUGUUUCACUUUUGCCUCACCCCUAUGUGUUUAUAUAUUUCAUUCUUCGUUUGGCUUACUAUUUAUAUGAUGCAACUUCCUGAAAACCUUACUUCUUUCUUUAUUUCUGCUCUUAUAUGAAUCCCUACCCCUAAUUCCCUUUGUAUGGCUGAGCAAUGGUUCAAAAACAUGGCAAUACCUGAAAUUAUUGUCCAUGGAUAUGAAUUGGAUCCUCUGCCCUUGAACUCUUUCAAUUCCCAUCCCCAUUCCCUUUACAUGCAUGUUGAGUUAAGACUUUGGUCUGGCAGUGUCCUAAUCACUGGCCAGCCCAUGGUCUGGCCUUCAAUAGGUCUUUACUCUCAGUUGUUUGGCUGACAGACUGGUCAGGGGUGUGCCAGCCUACCACAUGGCUGGGCAUGACCACCAGCCUGCCUUGACACUCCGUAAUCCCCUCUAUUGCACCUGCACUUGUUCCUAGAACCUAAGUUCUACCCACUUUUUGUGAGCCUUGCCUUGGGACCAAUGAGCUCCCACUGAACUUGGACACUGGAAAGCUGACCUUUUUAUACUGCACUAUAAUUCAGUUCUAUUUAAUAUCCAGGGUGUAAGCACUGCCUCGAGUUCCUGAAACUCCUUGGAACUUUGAAACACCCUAGAUAAGAGAAGGCUUUGGAAAUCUUGAUCCCGGGAGUGGUUCAUCUUAUAUUGUUAGACACAAAAUCUGAGUUAGGUUCCUUGGAUGUACAUGUAGUUUCUGAUGUAAUUUUACUUCCUGUUCAAUUCAUUUAGUUUGUAAUAAUUUCUAAUAAACUCAUGG